rnacentral:rRNA from 1 species
AUGAACGCUAGCGGGAGGCCUAACACAUGCAAGCCGAGCGGUAGAGAUUCUUCGGGAUCUUGAGAGCGGCGUACGGGUGCGGAACACGUGUGCAACCUGCCUUUAUCUGGGGGAUAGCCUUUCGAAUGGAAGAUUAAUACCCCAUAAUAUAAGAGACGGCAUCGUUUUUUAUUGAAAACUCCGGUGGAUAGAGAUGGGCCCGCGCAAGAUUAGAUAGUUGGUGAGGUAACGGCUCACCAAGUCUACGAUCUUUAGGGGGCCUGAGAGGGUGAUCCCCCACACUGGUACUGAGACACGGACCAGACUCCUACGGGAGGCAGCAGUGAGGAAUAUUGGACAAUGGGUUAGAGCCUGAUCCAGCCAUCCCGCGUGAAGGACGACGGCCCUAUGGGUUGUAAACUUCUUUUGUAUAGGGAUAAACCUACCCUCGUGAGGGUAGCUGAAGGUACUAUACGAAUAAGCACCGGCUAACUCCGUGCCAGCCGCCGCAGUAA